GAUGAACGCUGGCGGCGUGCUUAACACAUGCAAGUCGAACGGGAUCCAAGGGGUGCUUGCACUUUUUGGUGAGAGUGGCGAACGGGUGAGUAACACGUGAGUAACCUGUCCUUUUCUUUGGGAUAAGCAUUCGAAAGGGUGUUUAAUACCUUAUGUUCUGACUGCCUCGCAUGGGGUGGGUGGGAAAGGCUUUGGCCGGAUUUGGGUGGGCUCGCGGUCUAUCAGCUUGUUGGUGGGGUGAGGGCUUACCAAGGCUUUGCCGGGUAGCCGGCCUGAGAGGGUGGGCGGUCACAUGGGGACUGAGCAACCGCGCAGACUCCUGCGGGACGCAGCAGUGCGGGAUGUUGCACAGUGGGAGAAAGGCCGAUGCAGCGACGCCGCGUGCGGCAUGGAGGCGUUCGGGUUGUAAGCUUCUUUUGCUCUGAGCAAGGCGCACUGUUGGGUGUGUUGCGUGUAGGGGUUGAUUAGCGCCGGCUAACUACGUG
rnacentral:rRNA from 1 species